UACGGGGGGGGCAAGCGUUGUUCGGAAUUACUGGGCGUAAAGGGCUCGUAGGCGGCCAACUAAGUCAGACGUGAAAUCCCUCGGCUUAACCGGGGAACUGCGUCUGAUACUGGAUGGCUUGAGUUUGGGAGAGGGAUGCGGAAUUCCAGGUGUAGCGGUGAAAUGCGUAGAUAUCUGCAGGAACACCCGUGGCGAAAGCGGCGCGCUGGACCACUACUGACGCUGAGGAACGAAAGCUAGGGGAGCAAACAGG
rnacentral:rRNA from 1 species